AACGCUGGCGGCGCGUUUUAAGCAUGCAAGUCGAGCGGCAAGGGCCUCCGGGCUCCUAGAGCGGCGGACGGGUGAGUAACACGUGGACAAUCUGCCCCCCGGCCGGGGAUAGCCCAGGGAAACCUGGAUUAAUACCGGAUGAGGCGGGACGCACGAUGGUGCGGUCCGGGAAAGGCGCCUGCGGCGCCGCCGGGGGAUGAGUCCGCGACCCAUUAGCUGGACGGCGGGGUAAAGGCCCACCGUGGCGACGAUGGGUAGCCGGCCUGAGAGGGUGGACGGCCACAUUGGAACUGAGACACGGUCCAGACUCCUACGGGAGGCAGCAGCCUAAGAAUCUUCCGCAAUGGGCGAAAGCCUGACGGAGCGACGCCGCGUGAACGAAGAAGGCCGUGAGGUUGUAAAGUUCUUUUCGGGAGGAGGAAUUACCGUGGCAGGGAAUGGCCGCGGGAUGACGUGAAUCCCGGAACAAGCCCCGGCUAACUACGUGCCAGCAGCCGCGGUAACACGUAGGGGGCGAGCGUUGUUCGGAAUCAUUGGGCGUAAAGGGCGUGCAGGCGGCACUGCAAGUCCGGCGUGAAAGACCCCGGCCCAACCGGGGGGGUGCGCUGGAAACUGCGGUGCUUGAGUACAGGAGGGGAUGCCGGAAUUCCAGGUGUAGGGGUGAAAUCUGUAGAUACCUGGAAGAACACCGAUGGCGAAGGCAGGCAUCUGACCAUGUACUGACGCUGAGACGCGAAGGUGCGGGGAGCAAACAGGUUUAGAUACCCUUGGUAGUCCGCACAGUAAACGAUGUGCACCANGUGGCCGGGGGUAGAACCCCCGGUACCGUAGCAACGCAUUAAGUG
rnacentral:rRNA from 1 species